rnacentral:rRNA from 1 species
UACGUAGGGGGCAAGCGUUGUCCGGAUUUAUUGGGCGUAAAGCGCGUGUAGGCGGCCAUGUAGGUCUGACGUGAAAUUCCGAGGCUCAACCUCGGCAGGUCGUUGGAAACCAUAUGGCUAGAGUCCGGAAGAGGAGAGUGGAAUUCCUGGUGUAGCGGUGAAAUGCGCAGAUAUCAGGAAGAACACCCGUGGCGAAGGCGGCUCUCUGGGGACGGU